rnacentral:rRNA from 1 species
CCCGGUGACAACAGCAGGAGUGCCACACCCGUUCCCAUUCCGAACACGGUAGUUAAGGCUUCUGCGCCGAUGGUACUGCCGAGAAAGGCGAGAGAGUAGGUCAUUGCCGGGA